rnacentral:rRNA from 1 species
UACGUCGGGCGCAAGCGUUGUCCGGAAUCAUUGGGCGUAAAGCGCGCGUAGGUGGCCUCAUAAGUCCGCUGUGAAAGUCAAAGGCUCAACCUUUGAAAGCCGGUGGAUACUGUGGGGCUAGAGUACGGAAGAGGCGAGUGGAAUUCCUGGUGUAGCGGUGGAAUGCGCAGAUAUCAGGAGGAACACCAAUAGCGAAGGCAGCUCGCUGGGACGUUACUGACACUGAGGCGCGAAAGCGUGGGGAGCGAACAGG